UUCUAGAAGAGAGUGAUGAGAAUGAAAUACAAGAGGAGUGGGGAGGGGACAAUAAGCCAAUAUGACAAGAAAUUUAAAAGGCUGCACUAAAGCAAACAAAGAGACACAAAAACACACAAAAUCUAGCAAAUGAUCUCAUCUUUAGAUGACCCCCAAAGGAUUUUCACAGGCUGAGGUCUGAAGUGAGGUAAGAAGUAAGGUUUCCAGAGAAAGUUCAGACCAACUGUAGACUAUGAAGAGGCUAUGUAUCCUUUGUAUAUCAGAGAGUAGUGUAA